UGGUGGUCUCUUCACAUGGACGCGCAUGAAAUUUGGUGCCGUGACUCGGAUCGGGGGACCUCCCUUUGGAGAUCAAUCCCCCAUCCUCCUGCUCUUUGCUCAAUGAGAAAAAUCCACCUACGACCUUAGGUCCUCAGACCGACCAGCCCAAGAAACAUCUCACCAAUUUCAAAUCCGCCACUCCCAGAGCCCCUGGAACUCUGGCCCAAGGCUCUCUGACUGACUCCUUCCCAGAUCUUCUCGGCUUAGCGGCUGAAGACUGACACUGCCCGAUCGCCUCGGAAGCCCCCUAGACCAUCACGGACGCCGAGCUUCCGGUAACUCUCACAGUGGAAGAUUUACCGGAACAUUCCAGGAUUUUUACGUACACUUAUGGAUGCCCUGAGAAAAGACAAAAUAGUCUUUCCUAAUGAUGAAAAUGUUAAAUUCCUUUCUUCUCCUCUUCUCAUCUUACAUGGAGAGGAUGACAGGACAGUGCCUUUGGAGUAUGGGAAAAAGCUCUAUGAAAUUGCACGCAAUGCAUACAGGAACAAAGAGAGGGUCAAGAUGGUUAUCUUUCCUCCUGGCUUCCAACACAACCUGCUUUGUAAAAGCCCCACACUGUUAAUAACCGUGAGAGAUUUCCUGAGCAAGCAGUGGUCAUGAGUCUGGGAGGAGUGGAAAUCUUCAAUGAAGACUUGGUCCAAACACCACCUGUGAUGUAUAUUGUUUUAAUGUAAAAUUGUACUGGGCUGGUCGGAUGAGCUGAGGCCAUUGACUUCUCUACAAAUCACUUGCCAUUUUAACAACAGAAAGUACGAAUGUUAGGCAGUACGGAAUGUUCUUAUUUAGCUUAUCAUAAUCUACUUUG
rnacentral:sRNA from 1 species